UACGUAGGGGGCUAGCGUUGUCCGGAUUUAUUGGGCGUAAAGAGCGUGUAGGCGGCUAGGUAGGUCCGUUGUGAAAACUCGAGGCUCAACCUCGAGACGUCGAUGGAAACCAUCUAGCUAGAGUCCGGAAGAGGAGAGUGGAAUUCCUGGUGUAGCGGUGAAAUGCGCAGAUAUCAGGAAGAACACCCGUGGCGAAGGCGGCUCUCUGGUACGUGACUGACGCUGAGACGCGAAAGCGUGGGGAGCGAACAGG
rnacentral:rRNA from 1 species